rnacentral:rRNA from 1 species
ACUCCUACGGGAGGCAGCAGUGAGGAAUAUUGGACAAUGGGGCAACCCUGAUCCAGCCAUGCCGCGUGAGUGAUGACGGCCUUAGGGUUGUAAGCUCUUUCGCUAGGGAAGAUAAUGACGGUACCUAGUAAAGAAGCCCCGGCUAACUUCGUGCCAGCAGCCGCGGUAAUACGAAGGGGGCUAGCGUUUGUUUCGGAAUCACUGGGCGUAAAGCGCGCGUAGGCGGACUUUUUAAGUCAGGGGUGAAAUCCCGAGGCUCAACCUCGGAACUGCCUUUGAUACUGGAAGUCUUGAGUUCGAGAGAGGUGAGUGGAAUACCGAGUGUAGAGGUGAAAUU